CUUGAUAUCCUAUUCUCUUCACACAACAUAUUGUCUCCUUUUUCAUCUCUUGGGAUGUCAACAUGCACUCCCCUACUCCUCUCGUUAUUUUCUCUCUCAAAUUAUUUCAUAGCUUCUUUCACAUGUUUUUUAUCUUCAUAAAUUUGAGACGAGACUAAAGGUACAAGUAUAUAUUUUCUUUUGUUAAGCUCAAGAGAAACUCUAUUCUUUCUCUUAUCAUGAAUUGCAUUCCUACUAAAUUGCCAUGGACUCCCAAGCAUGAUAUGACAAUCUUGCAUUGGAAUUACA
rnacentral:lncRNA from 1 species